rnacentral:rRNA from 1 species
AUGCAGCACGGGAGCGGCGACUACGCCUCCCCCGCCCCCGCGGGCCACUACUACCCUCACCAGUACGCGCCGCCGGGGCCGACCUCCCACCCCGCCGCCGCCGACCCCCCGAUCCCGGGGGCCUACGCCUCCGCGCCGCCCUACUCCGUCGGCGGCUACCCCGAGCAGCUGCCAUCCGCCCCGUCCUACACGCAGCCGCCCCAGUACGCCGGGUACCCACCCUACAACCCCACGCCCUACCCCCCUGAACCCUCGCCGGCGCCGUACUACAGCUACUCGCAGCCCACCCAGCCGGCUCCCGCGGCGGAACCCAGCCCAGCGCCGCUUCCCUAUGAUGCCCCGUACUACGGUGGAGGCUACCAGCAGCCCGCCGCUGGGUAUGGCGACGAUGAUUACCUGAACGAGGGCGCGUAUGCCUAUACAGGCAACGCGGGCCCCGAGCCGUACGGCGCGCGGGGCACAGCGCCGACGCGAUCAGGAGCCGCGAUGUUUGAUGACUACGGCCGGUCGAUUGGACUCUCGUCCGGAGGGGCGGAGCAGCCACACGGCGGCGGGGGCGGCAGCGUGGGUGGGAGCUUUGGGAAGAUUGCCAGGGCUGUUCCAAAAGCAGAAACCCAUGAGGAUGCUAGUGGUGGUGCGCAGAAGUUUCGGGUUAAGCUGCUGCCAGAGGGUGCCGGAAGCCCUACCGAUGUGCUUUGCCAGGUUGGUCUGGAUGGAAUCCGCAUGCUUGAUCCCAGCACAAACAGGACCCUAAGGAUUUAUCCCCUUGAUACACUGACGAAAUGGGAGGUUUUGGAUUCAACUGUAUUUGCGAUUUGGGCAAAGACUUCAGUGGAUUUUGAAGCAAAGAGAAUAAGGCUGAAGUCAAACAGCUAUACUUCCAAUACUUUGCUUGAUAUUGUAACAGCAGCAACAGUCCAGUUUAAGGAGAUCGGUGAAGAUGCAAGAGCCAAAGGAACAGUAGACGCUGGCAAAUCCUCAAUACAAUCAAAUGAGAAGAAAAAAGGUUUUGAUUGGAUGUUUGCGAAACCUGUUGAUGAAGUGAAAGAUCAUUGGGUUCCAGAUGAGGCUGCUAAGAAAUGCCAGUCUUGUGCUGGUGAUUUCAGUCAUUUCAACCGCAGGCAUCAUUGUAGGAACUGUGGCGAGAUCUUCUGUGAUAAAUGCAGCCAAGGAAGAAUUGCUCUGACAGCUGAAGAUAAUGCUCCACUUGUCCGAGUUUGCGAUAGAUGCAUGGCAGAGGUUUCUCAGAGGCUUAGUAUGGCACAGGAAGCUGCAAACAGAUCUACCACAGUGCAAAGUCAUGGAGAUCUUGCAAGAAAACUGAAGGAGGAACUGGAGAGGAAUCGCAAGUCUUCAGGGACGGCGUCUGGAGGUGCAUCUGGAACAAGAAUGCGGGAAGUUGCGUGUCCUACCUGCACAGUCCAUCUUCAGGUUGAAGUCCCAAUCUCUGGCUCUGAAACAGUCGAGUGUGGAGUGUGCCAGCAUGCUUUUCUCGUCAGCGCCAAUUGA